UUCUGCAGGCUGCCACAGCAGGCAGUGCUGGAAAUCUCUCAGUUUAGGGGCAUUUGUUCCUUUAAGAACUUGGUGAAUUGUGACAUGGAGAGCUUGAUGCUGUUUGUGUAGGGAAGCCCCUGUGGCUCUACUGCAGAGCUCUCUUUUCUGACUCUCCCUACAUCCCUGCGAUGCUCAGUCCCACCACACAGCUUCUGCUAUGGGGCUUCUGUUUGGCAGCUGUUAGAACAUCUGUCUUUCCCUGCAAGGCUCUCCCUACUACAGGGAGCUCUUCUCCAGGCAAUUUCCCUGGGAUCUCACUGCUCUAUUCUGCUGCAAGAUCUCUCCUGCUGCCCACCUCUUCUCCUGGAAGAAGUUUUGCAACACAAAAACUUCCAGUGCUUUCCUCUGGCAUAAAGGGGUUGCUUCCUUUCUCGGCCUGUGUCAGUGAGAUUCUGCAGAGAUGGAGACAGAUGAUUCACAUGGCCAGAGGUAACCUGGAGAGGCAGCAGAAGAAGGGGGUGGAGUGCUCAUGUCCAGAGCUGCUCAGCCAGGUGGGAUUAGCAACAAAGGAAAAUAAACAGAUAGAUGUCAACACAGCAUCGCUGCAAGUGGGAGUUGCACAAGCAGAAGGGUGUAAACACAGCCAAAGGUCUCCCUGUCCAGUGUGGGUGGAAUGUGCUGCACCUGCCUCCUCUGCUCCUGAAAGGCUCUGUUCUGAGGGACAAGUUCCUAGUUCCUGGUGGGAAAAGCUCUGCUGAAUCACUCUCUGUGAAGCAGGCAGCUCGCUGGGAGAGUCAGAGCAUGGA